rnacentral:rRNA from 1 species
CGCUGGCGGCAGGCUUAACACAUGCAAGUCGAGCGCCCCGCAAGGGGAGCGGCAGACGGGUGAGUAACGCGUGGGAACAUACCCUUUAGUACGGAAUAGCCUCGGGAAACUGGGAUUAAUACCGUAUACGCCCUACGGGGGAAAGAUUUAUCGCUAAAGGAUUGGCCCGCGUUGGAUUAGCUAGUUGGUGAGGUAAUGGCUCACCAAGGCGACGAUCUAUAGCUGGUCUGAGAGGAUGAUCAGCCACACUGGGACUGAGACACGGCCCAGACUCCUACGGGAGGCAGCAGUGGGGAAUAUUGGACAAUGGGCGAAAGCCUGAUCCAGCCAUGCCGCGUGAGUGAUGAAGGCCCUAGGGUUGUAAAGCUCUUUCGCUAGAGAAGAUAAUGACGGUAUCUAGUAAAGAAGCCCCGGCUAACUUCGUG